AAAUAUGUGUUUAAGCCCGUCCUACAAAAGCCCGGAAAAAAAAAGGCGCGGGACAAGUAUAGUUGAGGGUGUGGACCUAAAUUCUUGGCCCACCCUCCGAAAAAAUGAGGGUGGUAGGGGCUGGCAUGCGGGUUUUGCACUCCUAAAGGCUAAAAAUUGCAAAAAAUCUUGUUAAUGCCCACGCCCGCAAAAAACUGAAUGGGGCAGGACGGACAUAUUAGAUGGGCCGGACUUUAAAUCUUGGUCCGCUUUGCGAAAAAAUGUAGACAAAACGGGCACGCCCGGCGGACCGGGCUCGUUUUUCCAUCCCUAAUCUCAGCAUUGAACAAUCUUUUCUGUUAUUAACUUACUCAUCAACAACUCGCCAUUCCCUCAAAAUAUUUAGUCAAUUUCUGCCACUGUCCUGCACCAUCAUCAUACAAUAUCUUAUUUAUCCUCCAUAGUUCUUAGAAUGCUGAGACUUUUGAUGGCCAUACCACCUAUUAGUGGAACACAUUCUAUUCUACCAUUCUAGACCUCAUGAAAAACAGGGAAAUAACAUUAAAGUUCUGAAGGUAUGUCUAGCAUGAAGAAAGAAGAAAAGGGGGAAAGGAGUUUCACCAUUUACAAUACUCUCACUUAUCCUUCAGCAUCCAUAUAGGGCUUAAUGGGCAAUGAAAUCAUUGAAUACUCUUCAGUUUGGUAUUUUGGUUGCUAAAUAGAAUAGCAAAAAUAUCAACAAACUCAUAGUGAUUCCGAACAUUACUUUAACUAAAACCAUCUAAAAUAAUUUGUUAAAUAAAUAAUAGCAAUAUGAACUAUAACUUUUCAAUAAGGCACAUCUAGAAGCAAAUCUAUUCACCUUUCAGAAUUUCAUACCUUUUCUUGAUAGAUGACUCCAACAUUCCACGGUAGUAGAUGUUGACAAAUUUCUUGCUAUCAAAACUAAAGUCAAUUCAUGGAAGUACAUAUAGCAACUUGAACAAUUCUAAUCAUUCAAAUCAAGGGAGUUACAGUUAUAUACAUCCACACUUUAGUUCUAUCAUAAUCCAAUUGUAAAAGCAUAAAAAUCCAGAUCCAAAACUUCUCAUGAUAACAAACACAGGGGCGUUAAGAAUGUAAUAUUCAGCCCCUGAAGAAGAUUGAAUGCUAGCAGCAAUACAGCACAACAAGAAAAACCUCAAACAUCUAACAGCAAUACUAGAUUUAAAAUUGCAUAGCUCAAACUUCCAUUUGCUUGAGAGAAACACGACUUUGUUAAAAAAAAGGUUAUGGUUCAUUGUUAAUAAAAAAUAAAAAGCUUGCUCCAAAAUGAACAUUUGUUUAAAAGUAAAAAAUGUAACUCUAAGUAUAGUUGAAAAUUUCACAUUAUUUUCCCCCACAAACCUACUUUAACAAUAGUAAUUUUUCAAUUGUCUGCAAAUGCUAACUCAACUGAUAAAUCUCGUCAACCAUAAACCAUAAACCAGCUCAAUCGAAACAAACACUUAAAACAAUCAAUUUUCAAAAUCAAGAUUAUAUAAAAUCAAAUUUGCAACCACUCACUCAAACAAACAAGCAAUAAAAAGUAAAAACCCUAGUUUUAAAGUUCUACACUGCACUUAUAAGCUAUUGAAACUGUUUUCCUUUUCGGAUUUGAGAAUUCUUAAUUAUUUCAAUAAACAAUCAAAUUUAUUGCAUUAUACAUAAAAUCCCAAUGUAAAUUAAUCUUAGAGAUAAAAACUUCCAAAUAUAAAUCACUUCAUUUAAAUAUUAUUUCAAGAAAAUCAAUUAUAUAUAUAUAAUAAUUAUAUAAUAUAUAUAUUAUAAUAUAUAUAUAUAUAUAUAGAUAGAUAUAUAUAUAUAUAUAUGAUCAUCCAAAAUCAAAUUUACAAACCCUCAACCAAAAACACAAAAUUGAAAAAUCCAUGAUUCAUGAUCUCCACAUAGCUUUUGAGCUUUUAAUACUUUUAUUUUUAUUGAAGAACAAAAAAAAUCAAAAUCCAUAAGACAAAAAGAUAAGAAAAAGGACAAAAGCAUAGUAGUAAGAUCUGGAAUAUUUGAAAAUCAAAAUCUGAAAGUAAUACUAGCAACAAGAAUAAUGAAUAAAUAAUAAGAAAGAAGAGUUUGUUUUGAAGAUUUAGAAGCAGGUAGAAAAUAAGAAAAAAAAAAGCAUACCUUGAAUUGAAGAUGUUAGAAUUUGUUGUUAAUGAAUGGUUAGAAGAGAAGAGGUUAGAUCUUUGAUGGCGAAUUGCAUGUGUUCUUGUUAUCUGGUUAGAUCUAUUUGCGGUGAGUGGUGAAUUGUGAUUUGUGUGUUUAAGAGAGAGAAAGAUGUAGUCAAAGAGAAAAAGAUGGGAGAGGAUUGAAUAUUCACCAAUAAAACUAGUGUUUUAGAAAGAG
rnacentral:lncRNA from 1 species